rnacentral:lncRNA from 1 species
AAAAAAAAAAAAAAAAGUUUUAAAGUGCUGCUUGUUGAAGAAAGAGUCCAAAACAUAGAAUUCGGCCCUAAUUAUUGCCUGAAUUUUCCCUUCGUGUCUAAAAGCUGAUUUCUGCAAUCUAAGUGAAUUCUAAGUUUCAAUUUCAUUACUUUACUUGCUAUUGCUUUAAGAACGAUUGUUAUCCUUAUCCUUCAUUUGUUAGCCAUCACCCCAAGCCCCGUUACAACCCUUAACUUCAUCUUGAGUGUCAUGCGUUUCAAUAUGUGGAGUUUGAAUUUGGUAUGAGCAUAUGGUGUCACUGGUUCUCGCAUCUAAGUAGUAGCAUUCCAUUCAUGAGAUCAUAUCUAAACAUGCUUAUUAACUCCAGAAAUUGCUUUCUUUGUGAUACAUAUAUGUGAGCGUUCGUUUUCAUAUCUACAUCAAUCUUCUCACAUAUAACUAGUAUAGGGUGUGUAGUUAGAGAAAAUCUGAGUGAAAAUUGAGUUCAUAUCUUGUAAGGAAUUGAGUGAUUUCUCUAAGGCAUGUUACUACAUCAAAAACAUUGUUUUAAUUGAUUAAUUGUGAACUAGUAAGUGGUGACUAUGAUUAAGUAUGUGCUUAAGUGUAAAGAUGACUCAAAUCUGUGGGGAUAAUGAUUUUUAACAUGUCAUGUGCAUUGGAAAUCCCUGAGGCAAAUGUUGGAAGGUUUAGGUU